rnacentral:tRNA from 1 species
GUUGGUGUAGCUCAGUGGUAAAGUGCAUGCUCUGUAUGUAUGAUGUCCUGAGUUCAAUCCCCAGCUUUUCACA